UGCUUACUAGAGAUGCACUAGAUAGAGAUGUCUCUAGUGCAGGGUUUAGCUAUAGAGCGAGUGUUAAGAGAGCUACCUUGGGAGACAGGCUGUAGGAGGUGUGAAUCACAUUUUCAACAAUUGGAUAUGGAAUUUGGGGCAAAUUAUUUAGCCUCCGUUGCCCUUGCUGGUGAAGUGUGGGAUGGGAUAUUAGUACCUAUAUUACAGUUUUGUUAGGUGUGUUCAUGCUUCCAUUGUUGUAACAGAAUGCCCGAGGGAAACAACUUCAAGAGGGAUUUAUUUAGGCUUUAGCCCGCAGCUACUUAGCUGUGUUGGUUCUAGUUCUUGUCCAUAACAGAGAACAUCAUGGCAAGCAGCGUGUGUUAGAGCAAAGAUACCACCCUGUGGUGGCUUGGAGUCGGGGAAGGGGAAGAAGAAAGAAAGGAAGGGGUUAGGUAAGCAUUCAAAGGCAUGCAUCUAGUGAUCAGUUUUCUCCAUCUAGGCCUAAUAAUCCACUCAGAUGUGAGCUUACCAAUUGAUUAAUACACUGAUAAAGUUAGUGACCUAAUGCUUCAUUCACCUCUCCAUGGAGCCACCAGCUGUGGACCAAGUUUUCAAUAUUUGAGGCUUUUAGAGGAAACUUUCCUUCCUUCCUUCCUUCCUUCCUUCCUUCCUUCCUUCCUUCCUUUCUCCGUCCCUCCUUCCCUCCCUCCCUCCCUCCCUCCUAUAUAUACAUACAUACAUACAUACAUAUACAUAUAUAUAUGUAUAUAUGAACAUACAAACAUAUAUAUGUGUUGACCACUCUAAACUGCUGAUCCACUUCUUAAGCCCUUGGGCGGGUAAAUAGGAACCUUUCAUAUCUGAGCCAUACAAACUACUGGGACUGGAGACUAGGCUCGGUGUUAAGAGCACUUCUUGCUCUUGCAGGGGACCCCUUUUGUAUUCCCAGCAUUCACAUGUCUACUCUCAGUUAUUUGUAAUUCCAGUCCUAGAGGAUCUGACACCCUCUCCUUACCCCUGUAGGCAUCAGGCAAAUAUGUAUCACAUAUUCAUGCAUGCAGGCGAAACGCUCACAUGCAUAAAAUAAAUAAAAUCCUUUGAAAUGUUUAAAAGAAAUAAGGAAAUCAACACAUGUUCCUAACAUAGCAUCUUACACAAAGAAAAUAUUCCAUAAAGUUUCUUCCUGCUCUCUCUGGUAGAAGGGGAAUUUGUAUGUUGUGUGAUAGAUUUUUAGAUUCUUAUUAGGAAUUUAAUUACUAGUGCUGGGCUUCUCCUGCUUGAAAUUCUCUUUUAAUGUGUCUAGGGUCAGGUCUCUAGACUGUGAGCAGCAUGCCAGUUCUAGUUUAUCAUCAAGGUUACAGUGGCCUGAGAAGUUGAUUAACUAAUGCUUAUGCGUCUCUCAGUGGAGUUGCCAGCUGUGACCUAAGUCUUCAGUCCACGAGACUUUUAGAGG
rnacentral:lncRNA from 1 species